rnacentral:rRNA from 1 species
CCUACGGGUGCACCAGUGGGGAAUUUUGGACAAUGGGGGCAACCCUGAUCCAGCCAUGCCGCGUGAGUGAAGAAGGCCUUCGGGUUGUAAAGCUCUUUCGGCCGGGAAGAAAUCGCACGGGCUAAUACCCUGUGUGGAUGACGGUACCGGAAUAAGAAGCACCGGCUAACUACGUGCCAGCAGCCGCGGUAAUACGUAGGGUGCGAGCGUUAAUCGGAAUUACUGGGCGUAAAGCGUGCGCAGGCGGUUUAGUAAGACAGGCGUGAAAUCCCCGGGCUCAACCUGGGAACUGCGCUUGUGACUGCUAAGCUAGAGUACGGCAGAGGGGGGUGGAAUUCCACGUGUAGCAGUGAAAUGCGUAGAGAUGUGGAGGAACACCGAUGGCGAAGGCAGCCCCCUGGGCCGAUACUGACGCUCAUGCACGAAAGCGUGGGUAGCAA